AUUGAACGCUGGCGGCAGGCCUAACACAUGCAAGUCGAACGGUAGCACAGAGAGCUUGCUCUCGGGUGACGAGUGGCGGACGGGUGAGUAACGUCUGGGAAACUGCCCGAUGGAGGGGGAUAACUACUGGAAACGGUAGCUAAUACCGCAUAACGUCGCAAGACCAAAGUGGGGGACCUUCGGGCCUCACACCAUCGGAUGUGCCCAGAUGGGAUUAGCUAGUAGGUGGGGUAAUGGCUCACCUAGGCGACGAUCCCUAGCUGGUCUGAGAGGAGGACCAGCCACACUGGAACGGAGACACGGUCCAGACUCCGACGGGAGGCAGCAGUGGGGAAUAUUGCACAAUGGGCGAAAGCCUGAUGCAGCCAUGCCGCGUGUAUGAAGAAGGCCUUCGGGUUGUAAAGUACUUUCAGCGGGGAGGAAGGCGGUGAAGUUAAUAACUUCACCGAUUGACGUUACCCGCAGAAGAGGCACCGGCUAACUCCGUGCCAGCAGCCGCCGUAA
rnacentral:rRNA from 1 species